UGGUCAUUGUCCCAGCAUAGCAGGAUGUCGUCUACAUGCCUGAUAUAUAGGCAAGUGUUCUGCCUGUAUUUUGCUGAUUUCUGUUCUUCCGCAGCUCUGGGGAGUGUCUCCGCCAACGGUCCGGCGGGUGGGCUGCCAAUCGGAGCUCCCCUCGCUUGCCGAGGGACCUUUCCUUUGGGCAUGAAGUGGGAGUUGUGGCGGAUCCCAUGUGCUGGGUCUCGGAUUGGUGUCUUGUCCAGAUUGUCCCUUGGGAGAUGUUCCAUGGGGAGCCGAUGGAGGUGGAGACACAGCGGUUCCGGGCGGAGGGACGGAUGGGGGGAUUCAGGGUCAUAAGUUGCCCGUGUUGCAGUGUCUUUCAGCUGGAUGGUCCUGACUCUGUUAGGGGCGUUGGUGGUGGUCUUGGUCGAGUUCUCGGUCUCCCCUAGCGGGCUUUCGCGCCGUUUAGCAGUGCAGGUUUCGGGCUCGUGGGUCGGGGCGCGUCCCUUAUCGGCUGUUGGUCGGGGUUGGGUUGG
rnacentral:lncRNA from 1 species